AGCGAACGCUGGCGGCAGGCCUAACACAUGCAAGUCGAACGAACCUUUCGGGGUUAGUGGCGGACGGGGGAGUAACACGUGGGAACGUGCCUUUAGGUUCGGAAUAACUCAGGGAAACUUGUGCUAAUACCGAAUGUGCCCUUCGGGGGAAAGAGUUAUCGCCUUUAGUGCGGCCCGCGUCUGAUUAGCUAGUUGGUUGAGGUAAUGGCUCACCAAGGCGACGAUCAGUAGCUGGUCUGAGAGGCUGAUCAGCCACAUUGGGACUGAGCCACGGCCCAAACUCCUACGGGAGGCAGCAGUGGGGAAUCUUGCGCAAUGGGCGAAAGCCUGACGCACCCAUGCCGCGUGAAUGAUGAAGGUCUUAGGAUUGUAAAAUUCUUUCACCGGGGACGAUAAUGACGGUACCCGGAGAAGAAGCCCCGGCUAACUUCGUG
rnacentral:rRNA from 1 species